rnacentral:rRNA from 1 species
GACGAACGCUGGCGGCGUGCUUAACACAUGCAAGUCGAACGGAAAGGCCUCUUUCGGGGGGUACUCGAGUGGCGAACGGGUGAGUAACACGUGAGUAACCUGCCCUUGACUUUGGGAUAACUUCAGGAAACUGGGGCUAAUACCGGAUAGGAGCUCCUGCUGCAUGGUGGGGGUUGGAAAGUUUCGGCGGUUGGGGAUGGACUCGCGGCUUAUCAGCUUGUUGGUGGGGUAGUGGCUUACCAAGGCUUUGACGGGUAGCCGGCCUGAGAGGGGGACCGGCCAAAUUGGGACUGGGAUACGGCCCAGACUCCUACGGGAGGAAGAAGGGGGGAAUAUUGCACAAGGGGUGGAAGCCGGAUGCAGCAACGCCGUGGGGGGGAUGACGGCCUUCGGGUUGUAAACCGCUUUCGCUCAGGAAGAAGUUUUGGUGAAGGGUAGUGGAGAAGAAGCCCCCGCCAAACAAGGG